GACGAACGCUGGCGGCGUACUUAACACAUGCAAGUCGAACGGAAAGGCCCUGCUUUUGUGGGGUGCUCGAGUGGCGAACGGGUGAGUAACACGUGAGUAACCAGCCCUUGACUUUGGGAUAACUUCAGGAAACUGGGGCUAAUACCGGAUAGGAGCUCCUGCUGCAUGGUGGGGGUUGGAAAGUUUCGGCGGUUGGGGAUGGACUCGCGGCUUAUCAGCUUGUUGGUGGGGUAGUGGCUUACCAAGGCUUUGACGGGUAGCCGGCCUGAGAGGGUGACCGGCCACAUUGGGACUGAGAUACGGCCCAGACUCCUACGGGAGGCAGCAGUGGGGAAUAUUGCACAAUGGGCGGAAGCCUGAUGCAGCAACGCCGCGUGCGGGAUGACGGCCUUCGGGUUGUAAACCGCUUUCGCCUGUGACGAAGCGUGAGUGACGGUAAUGGGUAAAGAAGCACCGGCUAACUACGUG
rnacentral:rRNA from 1 species